rnacentral:lncRNA from 1 species
UUGUAAGCUGGUAGGUGAAACAACAUGACUGUGUGUGCAAAGCAUGUAAUUGGAUUUGGCUGUUAGAGAUUAUGUGAGUCUGGGAGAUGUGCACCAAUCUUCUGCUUGAGUGAUAGAGUUUUAAUCUUUGUUCUCCCUGACAGGGAAUCUGCUUGCCAGCAUUCUGCUCAGAGAUCAGUGUUAACCGGGAGAACUUCAUUCUUAGCCUCAUAACACUGAGUGAAAACUAACAGUUUUGAACCUGCAGGCUAAUUUGUGCAAAGACAGGAAAACACCUUUAGCUACUUGUUUUCAUCUCUAUCAAGCUAUUUUGGGUUUCUCAAAAAAUAAUGGAAAAACUAAGUUCAAAGCUUCAAGCAGAUUGUGUUUCUUCUGGGUUUUAGUAUUUAGGUCUUUCACAGGGUAAGAAUUUUUUGUGUCAUUUUCUGUUAAACUUUAUUUUACAGACUUGGACAACUUGCUGUAUUAGCUGGGAUAGACCAGUCAGAUUUUGGUCUUUUGGGGCAUCCACAAAUGAAUUCUACUCUCAGUAAGCCUGCUAACAUGCUAAAGGAGAAGUCUUUUGAAGAGGAAAGACAAGAACAUACCCAGAAUAGCAAAAACAGAGCUGGGGACAUCCAAGUUUCUCUUCCUGGCACAUUUCAAUCCCAGAUGGCUGUGAAUAAUGCCUUCUCUGCUCUUAGAGAAAUACAAGAACUUCAGACUGCUGGGCAACAGUACCAGCCAGGCUCACGGAAGGAAAAUGAAGCUCAAACAGUUAACCAAAAUAAAGAGGGUAAGCCUCAAGAUAGUACUCCAACAUUCUCUGAGAGGAGAGUCAAACAAAAUGAACAAGCAAAAGGACGUCACUCAGCAAGGCAAUUGGUUACCAGUCUGCAUUCAUUUUCUGAUUCUAGUGUACAUAUUAAAAGUAAUGGUGGCAGAAUAUCCAGUGGUGCAUCUGGUGAAAAAAGCAAAAAUUGUUCCUCAAGUAAAUACAUCCCUAGAGCAAAUGAAACAGCAAUUCCAAAUGGUGGAGCAAGAAGAGACCAAAGUAGACUGCAGACAGUAAACCACUCUGGAACUGAUACCGUAGGAUCUGGCUCUGAAAUACAAGAAAGUAUCCAAAGUGUUACCAGCAUUUGAAAUAGUUCUAAAAUGUUUGGACUGUUCUUCACACUUGCAAGAUUAAAAAUAAAUUUUGGAUGCCUCAGUAUAGUUUGUGAAUUUUUUGUAAAGUAAUGUAGACUUAGUAACCUUUUAAAGCAUUGUGUGCUGUUUAGUAUUGCUGUUUCAUGUUUGCAUCACUUGUCACUAAAUUUUUAUUUUUGGAAGCAUGCGAUGCUCUGGUAGAAUGGUACCCUCCUGUUUGUACUACAUACAAAGGAUUCCUGGCAUAUGGAUUUUAUUAUGUAUCACAGAUCUUGUUAUAGAGUGUAAAUUGUUUUGAGCUAAUAAAAUUAGAGUACAAUUUCUUUUUUCCAGUGUUUAUUUCCAGUGUAUUGCAAUGGAAGUGGAAAAAAUGGUUUUGGGGC